rnacentral:lncRNA from 1 species
GAACAUACAGGAGAAAAAUAAAAAAUAAAUAAUAAUAAGCCUAUUUGUUUGUUGGUUCAGAGGUAUCUCGUGCUGAACUUGGUAGGGUGGAUCACGAUCCAAUCCCCCACAACUGCAAAUUGGGUUGAAUAAAGGGGUUACACCAACUUAUGUACCGGAGCCCCAUGCUUAGAAAAAUAAAAUAAUAAGCCUAAUUAUUGGUUGGUUCAGAGG